GGGCUUUCCAUUCGACCCGUCUUGAAACACGGACCAAGGAGUCUAACAUGUGUGCGAGUCGGUGGGUUUGUAAACCUGCGAGGCGUAAGGAAGCUGACGGGCGACAACAUGCAUGUGGGAAGAGUUGUAGAUCUUCCCAUAGGCAUGUGGGUAGAUUUGUAGCAUCUACAACUCCA
rnacentral:ncRNA from 1 species